rfam:Novosphingobium sp. AP12 PMI02_contig_442.442, whole genome shotgun sequence.
GCGGGUGUAGCUCAAUGGCAGAGCAGCAGCUUCCCAAGCUGAAUACGAGGGUUCGAUUCCCUUCACCCGCU